GUCACAACUCAUAUCUUGCUCUUUAACAUCUAUCAUAUAAGAAAAGUCACUCUACUUUUUCCACAACAAGCCAUGUCUAGCCUAACAUUCCACCAUUUUGUUUUGAAACAUUUCAUUUUUUUAUUUUUCCUCUCUUUCUCUCUCUUCCAUCUAUUACCAUAUUCUUAUUCUAAUUGUUUCCAAUUUCACUACAGUUACAAAUUAACAAUCUCACUUCCUCUUAUUCUUCUUCUUCCUUCUUCUUUUUUUCUUUGUGUUUUAUAUUCUUCUUCGUAAUGGUUAUCGUUGACGGUGUUUUAUUUUUCUUAUUUAUUCAGCAUCACUAACAUCGUUAUUAUGGUUUUUGUUUCAGAUAGGUUUCGAAACAAUUAUUUGAGCAUAAGGAAUCGAGAGUAAUUGUGAGAAUGAGUUUUAGCGGGAAUGAAGGCAUUUCACAGGCACACAAGAUAUUGUUCUUUUUAAAUAGUUUUAAUGUUGAAACAAACUGUUGAAUUAUGAAGUUUAAAGAAUAAGGAUUCAUGAAAAUUGUGGUUUACUGAUCCAAAUCAAAGGGCAUGGAAGUGAAAAGAUGCAUAUGAAAGUUUAC